GGGGUAAUAGUAUAGUGGUCAGUAUUUCUCGUUGUGGUUUCAGUCUCUUGCAAGAGAGACGCCUCGCAAUAUCCGAGAGGACCCAGGUUCGAUUCCUGGUUAUCCCA